rnacentral:lncRNA from 1 species
CUGAAUCGAUUCUCAAAAAAAAAAUGAAGACAACUGAAUUUAUUCUUUGUUUCUCUUUCAAUGACAAAAAAAACUGAUGCACUUCCAUCCGUCCGAUCAAGAUUUUCAGUGUUCUUUGCCCUGAGUUCGUCCUGAUUGUGAAUUUUACAAGAGCGCCUCUAGUACUUCUUUGCCGCAUUGUUUCAACAACUAGGUAGGUACUUAUGAUUCCUAUUCACCUCUCAAGACCUGAAAGUAUCAUUAUCUUGUGCUAGUUGCUCUUUCCCCGGGUAUCUAGUUGGUCCCAAUACCUUCAAAUCAUUGAAAAAAAAUAUGUUUAGCUCAAUAUCCAAAAAGAGAAGUUGGAGACAUCUAGCUCACUUGAGGAAGUUUGUUCAUUGACCAAGCUUUACAAAAAAAAAUUGGCAUAUGUGCAUUAUCUAUACAAUCACAUGAUUCUUAAAAAAAAUAUACAACCACAUUAGUUGUUUCCUAUUUUGCCUAGCAGUCAAGGAAUCAUUAUCGAGUACAAUGGUCGGAUUAACUUUGUUGCGCUAGCUGUUUUUCAGUGGAAUUGAGCUCCACAUGGACAUGUCAGGCGGUCCAGGUGGAUCUAUUACCCCCUCAGAGCAUGGUUAAUAAUACAAUCAACAAUCGGCUAUAAAAGUUGUCAUGUCAUCUAAAGCCAACCUGAAAAAUCUAAAGCUAAUUUAAUAGCCAACAUGUAUAAUUGUAAAUUUUGAAUGUGUAUUGUUUUAUUAAUAAUUGGUCCACCUUACAACCUCACAAAGUGUCUUGUGAUUCGGGUUGCAGCUGGCUACUAAUCAAGAGCCCGCUUCUCUUCUCUCUCUUCCAACUAAGCAAAGAUAUACUCCUUCCGUUCGGAAAUACUUGUAGGAGGAAUAAAUGUAUCUAGACGUAUUAUAGUUCUAGAUACAUUCAUUUUUAUCCACUUCUCCGACAACUAUUUCCAAAUAGAGGGAGUAGUAUUUUUAGUCCUUAUAGCCUACUUAUGUCACCUUACUGUACUUGCUCUCAAAAUGUUCCUCCCUCAGUCCCCAUAAUUUAAGACGUUUUUUUGACACUAAAGAGAAUAACGUAAGAGUAUUUCUUAUUACUACUACCGGAAAAAUCAUGUAGCUAAAUUGUUUUUUUUUUUGCGAGUGUCAUGUAGCUAAAUUUGAUAGGAGUAUGUGUAUCCAAUGCAGAUCCUAUGCAUUGCUUUUGUAACUACAUGUAGCUAAAUUCCUCGAAAAAAACUACAUGUAGCUAAAUUGAUCUUUUUUGCGAGUGUCAUGUAGCUAAAUUGUUUUAAAAAGGCGCUAUUCUAUAUAAUAAGCAUAUAAGGACAAAUCUUGUGCUAAAUAUAGUCAAGUGUAUUUACAUGUACUACCUCCGUCCGAAAAUACUUGUCAUCAAAAUGGAGAAAAAGGGAUGUAUCUAGAACUAAAAUACAUCUAGAUACAUCCCCUUUUAUUCAUUUGGAUGACAAGUAUUUCCGGACGGAGGGAGUAUCACUCUACUACUCUAGCUUUCGCAUGGUAGCUAGCCAUGAGUCUUCCACAAAAUGGCCUACCAUAGUUUCCUCUCCCAAGUCCCAACGCAGAACCAUCAUCUUGUCCUUCAAAACCCAUUGUGUUAAAACAAAUAUCAUUUUUUUAAUUAGAUUAAUCCAGAAAAAGAACCAUGGAAAUCAUGUUAGCACAAUUGAUCAUCAAGAAUAAACUAAAAACGCGAGCAUUGUUCAUGGUAGGAAGGUCUGUAUGGCCACAUGCAAAGAAGAGUUGAAUGGUCAUCUCAUGAGUUUGAGCACCGCAAAUGACAAGUAUCCAAAUUAUGUGGCCAUGCUCGGUUAUAUACGCACAUUUCCAUGGCACGACCAAGAAGAAGCACAAGGAUUGGACCUGUGACAAGUGUCUUCAUGGGGAGCAAAGAAGAAAUUCGUUGUAGUCUCCAAGGAAAACAACCUUGAGAAUAUCAUUAUAGUUUUGUUUGCGGCCAGCAAAAAAGCUGCCAUUCUCAAGGUCAUUUCCCUUGGCGAUGAGGUUGAACUUUUUUGCUUUGACUCCGAGUUGCGACACCUGUCUCAGUUCCCUCCAUGUGCGUCUUCUUGGUUGGCUUCAUGUUCUCCCUAGCGUCGAUGACACUAAGGAUCCUGGCGAUGAGGAAGAGGAUUGUGACCAAGGAGCAUCACCAUGGUCGAACGGUUCUAGAGCUAGGUGAAUG